rnacentral:rRNA from 1 species
UUGAAGUUUCGGGGUUAGUAGGUUGGUCAUGCCUCUGGUAUGUACUGGUCUCACUGUAUUCCUCCUUCCUGAUGAACCGUAAUGCCUAUUAAUUUGGUGUUGCGGGGUAAUUUGGACUUUUACUUUAAAAAAAUUAGAGUUAGNUUAAAGCAAGCUAACGCUUGAAUACAUUAGCAUGGAAUAAUGAAAUAGGACGUUCGAUCCUAUUUUGUUGGUUUCUAGGAUUGACGUAAUGAUUAAUAGGGAUAGUUGGGGGCAUUAGUAUUCAAUUGUCAGAGGUGAAAUUCUUGGAUUUAUUGAAGACUAACUACUGCGAAAGCAUUUGCCAAGGAUGUUUUCAUUAAUCAAGAACGAAAGUUAGGGGAUCGAAGACGAUCAGAUACCGUCGUAGUCUUAACCAUAAACUAUGCCGACUAGGGAUCGGAUGAUGUUUAAUUUUUAAUGACUC